rfam:Thermodesulfobacterium commune DSM 2178, complete genome.
GUUUCAAUUCCUUGUAGGUAGGCUCAAAAC